GGNGUUGCAUGGCUGUCGUCNGCUCGUGUCGUGAGAUGUUGGGUUAAGUCCCACAACGAGCGCAACCCUCAUCCUUAGUUACCAUCAGGUAAUGCUGGGGACUUUAAGGAAACUGCCAGUGAUAAACUGGAGGAAGGUGGGGAUGAUGUCAAGUCAUCAUGGCCCUUAUGGAGUGGGCUACACACGUGCUACAAUGGUGGCUACAAUGGGCUGCAAAGUCGCGAGGCUAAGCUAAUCCCUUAAAAGCCAUCUCAGUUCGGAUUGUACUCUGCAACUCGAGUACAUGAAGUUGGAAUCGCUAGUAAUCGUGGAUCAGCAUGCCACGGUGAAUACGUUCUCGGGUCUUGUACACACUGCCCGUCACGCCAUGGGAAUUGG
rnacentral:rRNA from 1 species